UAAUAUAUUUUGACGAAGAAAUUUAUUGUGAUCUUGAUUUAAACAAAGGUGAUAAAAUUAAAGUAAUUGGCAAAAUACAAACUACAGUUGACCCACCAUAUUUUAUAGUACAACACUUGAAGGAUCUUUCACAGAUAGAUGGACAUAUACCAUUGAAAACAGUUAUAAAAGCCUCUCGUAAUCUUAAAAGAACUACAGAGGAUAAUUCGACAACAGCACCCAAAUAAGAAGAGUAAACUGGAUUAAAAUAUUCUUAGAUUAAAAGGAAUGAUGUUCUUGUUUAAAUGACAAAUAAUUGGAUUGGAUUCUUUAUAUUAAAAACGUUUCUUCUGUUUGUUGAAAGUCUUACAUUUAUUA